rnacentral:rRNA from 1 species
UCGAGUUGAACGCUGGCGGCGUGCCUAAUACAUGCAAGUAGAACGCUGAGGACUGGUGCUUGCACUGGUCUAAGGAGUUGCGAACGGGUGAGUAACGCGUAGGUAACCUACCUCAUAGCGGGGGAUAACUAUUGGAAACGAUAGCUAAUACCGCAUGACAAUAGGGUACACAUGUACCCUAUUUAAAAGGGGCAAAUGCUUCACUAUGAGAUGGACCUGCGUUGUAUUAGCUAGUUGGUAAGGUAACGGCUUACCAAGGCGACGAUACAUAGCCGACCUGAGAGGGUGAUCGGCCACACUGGGACUGAGACACGGCCCAGACUCCUACGGGAGGCAGCAGUAGGGAAUCUUCGGCAAUGGGGGGAACCCUGACCGAGCAACGCCGCGUGAGUGAAGAAGGUUUUCGGAUCGUAAAGCUCUGUUGUUAGAGAAGAACGGUAAUGGGAGUGGAAAAUCCAUUACGUGACGGUAACUAACCAGAAAGGGACGGCUAACUACGUGCCAGCAGCCGCGGUAAUACGUAGGUCCCGAGCGUUGUCCGGAUUUAUUGGGCGUAAAGCGAGUGCAGGCGGUUUGAUAAGUCUGAAGUUAAAGGCUGUGGCUUAACCAUAGUUCGCUUUGGAAACUGUCAAACUUGAGUGCAGAAGGGGAGAGUGGAAUUCCAUGUGUAGCGGUGAAAUGCGUAGAUAUAUGGAGGAACACCGGUGGCGAAAGCGGCUCUCUGGUCUGUAACUGACGCUGAGGCUCGAAAGCGUGGGGAGC